rnacentral:rRNA from 1 species
UAACUGCGGUAAUUCUGGAGCUAAUACAUGCGUACAAGCCCCGACUCACGGAGGGGUGCUUUUAUUAGACUAAAACCAAACGGCUUCGGUCGUCCUUUUGGUGAAUCUGAAUAACUUUGAGCUGAUCGCACGGCUUUAUGCCGGCGACGUAUCCUUCCAAGGUGUGCCCUAUCAACUGUCGACUGUGGCAUAGACGCCCACAGUGGUUUUGACGGGUAACGGGGAAUUAGGGUUCGAUUCCGGAGAGGGAGCCUGAGAAACGGCUACCACUUCUAAGGAAGGCAGCAGGCACGCAAAUUACCCACUGGCCGAAGGCCGAGGUAGUGACGAAAAAUAACGAUACCAGACUCAUCCGAGGCCUGGUAAUCGGAAUGAGUAAACUUUAAAUCCUUUAACGAGGAACCAUUGGAGGGCAAGUCUGGUGCCAGCAGCCGCGGUAAUUCCAGCUCCAAUAGCGUAUAUUAAAGUUGUUGCGGUUAAAAAGCUCGUAGUUGGAUCUCGGCGGGCAGGGGGCGGUUCGUUAUUUGACGUUACUGCCCCAUUUGUCGGUGUUUCUGGUGGAAUUCUUAGGGUGCUCUUCACCGAGUGUCCUAAGAGGCCAUCACGUUUACUUUGAAUAAAUUAGAGUGCUCCAAGCAGGCUCGACACGCCUGAAUAUUCGUGCAUGGAAUAAUGGAAUAGGACGUCGUUCCUAUUUUGUUGGUUUUCGGGAAUCGACGUAAUGAUUAAUAGGGACAGCCGGGGGCAUUCGUAUUCAGACGACAGAGGUGAAAUUCUUGGACCGUCUGAAGACGAACAACUGCGAAAGCAUUUGCCAAGAGUGUUUUCAUUAAUCAAGAACGAAAGUUAGAGGUUCGAAGGCGAUCAGAUACCGCCCUAGUUCUAACCAUAAACGAUGCCAGCUAGUGAUCCGCAGACGUUAUUACUGUAGGCUCUGCGGGGAACUUCCGGGAAACCAAAGCUCUUGGGUUCCGGGGGAAGUAUGGUUGCAAAGCUGAAACUUAAAGGAAUUGACGGAAGGGCACCACCAGGCGUGGAACUUGCGGCUUAAUUUGACUCAACACGGGAAAUCUCACCAGGCCCGGACACCGGCAGGAUUGACAGAUUGAGAGCUCUUUCUCGAUUCGGUGGGUGGUGGUGCAUGGCCGUUCUUAGUUGGUGGAGUGAUU